AUGUACCAAGCACUCCGUCUUCUCGCGCCGUCACGUUGCCUUCUGCGAACUCCAGCCGCAGCCUCAGCUCCCGGCUCUAGCAGCACAGCUGUCCCCUCGUUCUGGGUCCCGAACGCGGCUCAAAUGGCAAGCCAGAAUUCCUUCUGGAUAGAAUAUACCUUUGGUGAACUCAAGGUCCCAAAUGAUAAGUAUUAUGGCACCCAGACUGUAAGAUCUACGAUGAACUUUAAGAUUGGAGGUGUGAUGGAAUGCAUGCCAGUCCCAGUUAUUAAAGCUUUUGGCAUCUUGAGCAGCUGCUGAAGUAAACCAGGACUAUGGUCUUGAUCCAAAGAUUGCUGAUGUGAUCAUGAAGGCGGCAGACGAGGUGGAUGAAGGUAAAUGAUCAUUUUCCUCUUGUGUGGCAGACUGGAUCCGGAACCCAGACGAAUAUGAAUGUAAAUGAAGUCAUUAGCAAUAGAGCAAUUGAAAUAUUAGGAGGUGAACUUGGUAGCAAGAGCCCUGUGCAUCCCAAUGAUCAUGUUAAUAAAAGCCAGAGCUCAAAUGAUAUUUUCCCCACAGCAAUGCACAUUGCUGCUGCAGUAGAGGUUCUUCAAGUGCUGUUACCAGGACUGCAGAAGCUCCAUGAUGCUCUCCAGGCAAAAUCCAAAGAGUUUGCACAGAUCAUCAAAAUGAGGCGUACUCACACACAGGAUGCUGUUUCCACUUAAUCUUGGGCAGGAAUUUAGUGGUUAUGUUCAACAAGUGGCCUAUGCAAUGGCGAGAAUCAAAGCUGCCAUGCCAAUGAUCUACGAGCUUGCAGCCGGAGGCACCGCUGUUGGGACUAGAGUUGGCUUCACAGAAAAAGUUGCUGCAAAAGUGGCUUCAUUCACGGGCUUGCCAUUUGUCACCACUCCAAAUAAAUUUGAAGCUCUGGCUGCUCAUGAUGCUCUGGUUGAGCUCAGUGGAGCCAUGAACACUACUGCUUGCAGUCUAAUGAAGACAGCAAAUUAUAUCCAUUUUUUGGGUUCUGGUCCUCGGUCAGGUCUAAGUGAACUGAUUUUGCCUGAAAAUCAACCAUGAAGCAGUAUCAUGCCAGGCAAAGUGACCCCCACUCAGUGUGAAGCAAUGACCAUGGUUGCAGCCCAGGUCAUGGGCAAUCAUGUCAUUGUGACUGUUAGAGGCAGCAGUGGACACUUUGAGUUGAACGUUUUUAAGCCAAUGAUGAUGAAGAAUGUGUUACACUCAGCCAGGCUGCUGGGGGAUGCUUCAGUUUCUUUCACAGAAAACUGUGUGGUGGGAAUCCAGGCCAACACAAAGGAUCAACAAGCUGAUGCAUGAGUCUCUAAUGUUGGUGACAGCUCUCAAUCCUCACAUAGGGAAUGACAAGGCAGCAAAGAUUGCUAAGACAGCACACAAAAAUGGAUCAACCUUAAAAGAAACUGCUAUUGAACUUGGCUAUCUCACAGCAGAGCAGUUUGAUCAGUGGGUAAAACCUAAGGACAUGCUGGGUCCAAAGUGAUCUAAAUAAAUGUAUAUUGAAAAUAAACAUAUAUAAAAU